rnacentral:tRNA from 1 species
GGGGAUUUAGCUCAGCGGCAUAAGCACCUGCCUUGCAAGCAGGCGGUCGUGGGUUCGAUUCCCAGUACCG